UUGUCGUAUCCUACCACUCGACACACUCGCGAACGGUUGACCCCUGCCAUCUCGGAGGGGGGCGGGUUCUCCUCGGGCUCUCGUCUCUCUUCGAGGUAUUUUCCCUGCCUUCGGCACGUUCGACCGGUGGGGAGCCAGCCUCCUAUCGAUCGGGCUGUCGACCGGCGGGACGACGAACCUUCCGGCGCGGCAUGCGCCAAGGAAAACGGAAGUGAAGGCCCGCGUGAUCCAUCCGUGCGGUGGAUGCACGUGGUGCUCGACACCCAAUACGAAAUGAGUCUGAACGACUCCCGGCAACGGAUAUCUAGGCUCUCGCAUCGAUGAAGAACGUAGCGAAAUGCGAUACGUGGUGUGAAUUGCAGAAUCCCGUGAACCAUCGAAUCUUUGAACGCAAGUUGCGCCCGAGGCCUCUAGGCCGAGGGCACGCCUGCCUGGGCGUCACGCCCCGCGUCGCUCCCUGACCCCCCCUCACAGAGUGCGGGGGUGAGGGAUGCGGAGAUUGGCCCACCGUGCACGUGCGCGGCAGGCUGAAGAACUCGGCCCUCCUGCCGGGCGAUUAACGGCGAGUGGUGGACGAUGGUCAUCGUCGCCGUGGUGAACGCCCGCGCGCAAGGACGGGCCGACCGUGAGGAAAACCCAGUCAUCGGAGAGAAGGCCCAUAUCUUCUUAAGACAGGGUGGUAUCUCUUCGAUCGCGACCCCA
rnacentral:rRNA from 1 species